UACGUAGGGGGGCAAGCGUUGUCCGGAUUUAUUGGGCGUAAAGAGCGUGUAGGCGGCCAUGUAGGUCCGUUGUGAAAACUCGAGGCUCAACCUCGAGACGCCGAUGGAAACCAUGUGGCUAGAGUCCGGAAGAGGAGAGUGGAAUUCCCGGUGUAGCGGUGAAAUGCGCAGAUAUCGGGAAGAACACCCGUGGCGAAGGCGGCUCUCUGGGACGGUACUGACGCUGAGACGCGAAAGCGUGGGGAGCGAACAGG
rnacentral:rRNA from 1 species